AAAGAAGUAGUUUAAUAGAGAAUUACGGCUUUGGGAGUUGUGGGUGCUGUUUCAGUCUUCUUUA
rnacentral:tRNA from 1 species